UCAGAGAAGAAGAUUUGACGGUAUUUGAGGAAUAAGCACCGGCUAACUCCGUGCCAGCAGCCGCGGUAAUACGGAGGGUGCAAGCGUUGUCCGGAAUGAUUGGGCGUAAAGCGUCUGUAGGUGGUUUUUGAAGUCUACUGUCAAAUACCAGGGCUUAACCUUGGAAAGGCAGUGGAGUACUCAAAGGCUAGAGUUCGGUAGAGGCAGAGGGAACUCCCAGUGGAGCGGUGAAAUGCAUAGAGAUUGG
rnacentral:rRNA from 1 species